rnacentral:rRNA from 1 species
AAACUAACUAGGAUUCCCUUAGUAACGGCGAGUGAACCGGGAUGAGCUCAAAUUUGAAAUCUGGCGUCUUUCAGGCGUCCGAGUUGUAAUCUAUAGAGGCGUUUUCCGCGCCGGACCGCGUCCAAGUCUCUUGGAAUAGAGUAUCAAAGAGGGUGACAAUCCCGUACUUGACGCGACAACCGGUGCUCUGUGAUACGUUCUCAAUGAGUCGAGUUGUUUGGGAAUGCAGCUCUAAAUGGGUGGUAAAUUCCAUCUAAGGCUAAAUAUUGGCGAGAGACCGAUAGCGAACAAGUACCGUGAGGGAAAGAUGAAAAGCACUUUGGAAAGAGAGUUAAACAGCACGUGAAAUUGUUAAAAGGGAAACGAUUGAAGUCAGUCGUGUGGGAAGUAUUCAGCCGUCUCUGGCGGUGUAUUUGCUUCUCACGGGUCAACAUCAGUUUGAUCCGGUAGAAAAAGGCGGGAAGAAGGUGGCACCCUCGGGUGUGUUAUAGCUUCCUGUCAUAUGUGCCGGACCAGACUGAGGAACGCACCUUGCAACAAUGCCGGGGUUCGCCCACCUACAAGCUUAGGAUGUUGACAUAAUGG